GAUGAACGCUAGCGGCAGGCCUAACACAUGCAAGUCGAGGGAGAAGCCCUUUCGGGGGCAGGAACCGGCGCACGGGUGCGUAACGCGUAUGCAACCUACCUUUCACAGGGGGAUAGCCCGAAGAACUUUGGAUUAAUACCCCAUAAUAUUAUUGGAUGGCAUCAUUUGAUAAUUAAAACUGCGGUGGUGCAAGAUGGGCAUGCGUCCUAUUAGCUAGUUGGAGUGGUAACGGCACCCCAAGGCUACGAUAGGUAGGGGUCCUGAGAGGGAGAGCCCACACACUGGUACUGGGACAGGGACCAGACUCCUACGGGAGGCAGCAGUGAGGAAUACUGGUCAAUGGUCGGAAGACUGAACCAGCCAUGCCGCGUGCAGGAAGGAUGCCUUAUGGGUUGUAAACUGCUUUUAUAUGGGAAGAAUAAGGUGUACGUGUACAUUGAUGACGGUACCAUAUGAAUAAGCAUCGGCUAACUCCGUG
rnacentral:rRNA from 1 species